UACGUAGGGGGCGAGCGUUGUCCGGAAUUACUGGGCGUAAAGGGUGCGUAGGCGGCACGGUAAGUUGGAUGUGAAAUACCCGGGCUUAACUUGGGGGCUGCAUCCAAAACUGCUGAGCUUGAGUGCGGGAGAGGAAAGCGGAAUUCCUAGUGUAGCGGUAAAAUGCGUAGAUAUUAGGAGGAACACCGGUGGCGAAGGCGGCUUUCUGGACCGUAACUGACGCUGAGGCACGAAAGCGUGGGGAGCAAAC
rnacentral:rRNA from 1 species